GUGAAUCAUCGAAUUUUUGAACGCAAAUUGCGCUUUCUGGUAUUCCGGGAAGUAUGCCUGUUUGAGGGUCAGUUAAAAUAAAAUCGGGGUUUUUGCUACCCGUAGGGGGGUGUGAGGCAUCGGAAUAUAGUCGUUCUUUACGUUUGGGGUAAUUGAAUUAAAAUUAUGUUCGAUUUUUUAACGUAUUUAAAUUAUUACUUACGUUCGUAAUAUCACAUAUUAGGUGCGGUCAUUCACAUGAUUUCGCGGCUAUAAUUUUUCAUUAUUUGAUCUCAAAUCAGGUAAGAAUACCCGCUG
rnacentral:misc_RNA from 1 species